rnacentral:rRNA from 1 species
UCCGUAGGUGGAUCAAUCAGUCAGAGGUGAAAUCCUGCAGCUUAACUGUAGAACUGCCUUUGAUACUGUUGAUCUUGAGUCAUUAUGAAGUGGUUAGAAUGUGUAGUGUAGCGGUGAAAUGCAUAGAUAUUACACAGAAUACCGAUUGCGAAGGCAGAUCACUAAUAACGUACUGACACUGAGGGACGAAAGCGUGGGGAGCGAACAGGAUUAGAUACCCUGGUAGUCC